rnacentral:rRNA from 1 species
UUGGAGCGGCCGGCGUUCGGCCCAGAGAGCCUCGCCUUUGAUCACCGUGGGGGUGGCCCAUACACCGGCGUUUCCAACGGCCGCAUCAUCCGGUGGAGGGGCAACCGCCGCCACCACGGCUGGACUGAGUUCGCCCACAACUACAAGCACAAGACGAUGGUGGAGUGCGCGAAGAAGAAGAAGCCAGUAGAGCCCGAGAGCGCGUGCGGGCGGCCGCUGGGCCUGCAGUUCCACCGCGUGUCCGGUGACAUGUACAUCGCACAUGCGUACCUGGGGCUCAUGAGGGUGGGGCGGCGCGGCGGGCUGGCGGAGGUGGUGGCCACGGAGGCUGGCGGCGUACCCUUCAACUUCCUCAACGGGGUGGACGUCGACCAGGAGACCGGCGACGUCUACUUCACGGACAGCAGCACCGCCUACCAACGGAGUGAGUACAUGCUGAUGGUGUUGACCGGCGACGCGACGGGGCGACUCAUGAGGUACGACCCGCUGACGGGCAAUGUCACUGUGCUCAGGUCUGGCCUGGCCUUCCCCAAUGGUGUGGCCGUUAGCGCCGACAGGACGCACCUCAUCGUCGCCGAGACAUCCUCGUGCAGGCUGCAUCGGCAUUGGCUGCGGGGAUCCGCGGCGGGGAAGACGGAGGUGCUCGCCGACCUACCGGGGUACCCGGACAACGUGAGGCCCGACGGAGAUGGCAUGGGCGGGUACUAGGUGGGCAUUAACCGAGACAAGCAAUGGGAAGAGAUCGGGACCACGCCGAACUCCAUCAGCGCCAUCAGGGUCGUCGUCGCUGGAGACGCCAAAAACAGGACGGUGGCCGAGAUGCUGCGGGGGUUUGGCGACGCCACUGUGAGCGAGGUGGUGGAGCAGAACGGUUCACUGUGGAUCGGCUCCGUCGACACACCCUACGUCGGCAUGUUCAUGUUGGCAUCAGUGUAG